rnacentral:rRNA from 1 species
UACAGAGGGUGCAAGCGUUAAUCGGAAUUACUGGGCGUAAAGCGUGCGUAGACGGUUAUUUAAGUCAGGUGUGAAAGCCCCGGGCUCAACCUGGGAAUUGCAUUUGAGACUGAAUAGCUAGGGUGCGGAAGAGGGAAGCGGAAUUUCCGGUGUAGCGGUGAAAUGCGUAGAUAUUGGGAGGAACACCAGUGGCGAAGGCGGCUCACUGGACCAUUACUGACGCUGAUGCACGAAAGCUAGGGGAGCAAACAGG